rnacentral:rRNA from 1 species
GGGAACGUAUCUUUUGCAGGGGGAUAACUGACCGAAAGGACAGCUAAUACCGCAUAAGUCCGGGAGGAGAAAGGUGCAAAAGCAUCGGCAGAAGAGCGGCCCGCGGUCCAUCAGCUAGUUGGUGAGGUAAGGGCUUACCAAGGCGACGACGGAUAGCCGGCGUGAGAGCGUGGCCGGCCACAAGGACACUGAGAUACGGGUCCUACUCCUACGGGAGGCAGCAGUGCGGAAUUUUAGAUAAUGGAGGGAACUCUGAUCUAGCGACGCCGCGUGCAGGAAGAAGGUCUUCGGAUUGUAAACUGCUGUGGUAAGGGAAAAAUGCUAUGUAGAGUGGAAAGCUACAUAGAGGGAUGGUACCUUACUAGAAAGCCCCGGCUAACUACGUGCCAGCAGCCGCGGUAAUACGUAGGGGGCGAGCGUUACCCGGAAUCACUGGGCGUAAAGGGAGCGUAGGUGGCCUAACAUGUCAACUGUGAAAACCCGGAGCUCAACUCCGGACUUGCAGUUGAAACUGGUAGGCUUGAGGACGGUAGAGGAAGACGGAACUGCCAGUGUAGGGGUAAAAUCCUUAGAUAUUGGCAGGAACGCCGGUGACGAAGGUGGUUUUCUGGGCCGGUUCUGACACUGAUGCUCGAAAGCCAGGGGAGCGAACGGGAUUAGAUACCCCGGUAGUCCUGGCCCUA